UGGCCCUCGUCCCUGCAUCUCUCGAUCUCAGUCUCGUCCCUAAAGCUCCCAUUUUCCUCUGAUAACUCUUCACCUAAUAACCCAUUUCAAUUUUCCAUGGAAACCCCGUAAAUAACGAAAACAUUUGGGGGAUAAAAAUAGAAGAAAGAGAAAAGAAAAAAAAAAAGGACCUUUCUGUAAGGCCAGCGGCGGAGUCCACUCCGGCGGCAAAUUUUCUUGACGACAGUGAGACAAAGGUUCAUCUUCUUCGCAGCCUCGCUGAUUGGAAGACCUGUCUUGCUAGAGGUGUUUGGGGAACUCGCCGACUACCCCCGACUUCCGGCGGUGGAUGUGAUUGUUUCUCCAUUUGGAUUUGUUGUUCUUCUCUCUCUUCUUCUCCAUUGGAUUCCUCUCCACCCUCUGCAACUCAAGUAAGCCAAGUUUGAGUUCCGAAGAGAUAUGCUUAAUACUUGUCACACCAUAUCGAAUAGCAAUUUGACACGUGUAAUACUUAGUUCCCAUUUAAGAACUUCUAUUUCAAUAUCUUGAUUUGUGUGUGUGCGUGUGUGACAAAAUUGGUUAUACAAAAAUAUACACAGUAUACAUUUUGGAAUC